AACGAACGCUGGCGGCAUGCCUAACACAUGCAAGUCGAACGAGACCUUCGGGUCUAGUGGCGCACGGGUGCGUAACGCGUGGGAACCUGCCCUUAGGUUCGGAAUAACUCCCCGAAAGGGGUGCUAAUACCGGAUAAUGUCUUCGGACCAACGAUUUAUCGCCUUUGGAUGGGCCCGCGUUGGAUUAGCUAGUUGGUAGGGUAAAAGCCUACCAAGGCGACGAUCCAUAGCUGGUCUGAGAGGAUGAUCAGCCACACUGGGACUGAGACACGGCCCAGACUCCUACGGGAGGCAGCAGUGGGGAAUAUUGGACAAUGGGCGAAAGCCUGAUCCAGCAAUGCCGCGUGAGUGAUGAAGGCCUUAGGGUUGUAAAGCUCUUUUAACCGGGAUGAUAAUGACAGUACCGGGAGAAUAAGCUCCGGCUAACUCCGUG
rnacentral:rRNA from 1 species